rnacentral:rRNA from 1 species
AGGAAAAGAAACCAACAGGGAUUGCCCCAGUAGCGGCGAGUGAAGCGGCAAAAGCUCCAUUUUGAAAGCGCCUCGGCGCGUUGUAGAACGGUUUGGACUAAGGCGUGGGCGGCAGCUAAGUCCCCUGGAACGGGGCGCCACAGAGGGUGAGAGCCCCGUGCGCUGCCUGAAGCGCUGUAGUCUCUGCCACGGAGUCGAGUUGUUUGGGAAUGCAGCUCCAAGUGGGUGGUAAAUUCCAUCUAAGGCUAAAUACUGGCGAGAGACCGAUAGCGAACAAGUACAGUGAUGGAAAGAUGAAAAGCACUUUGAAAAGAGAGUGAAACAGUACGUGAAAUUGUUGAAAGGGAAGGGUAUUUGGCCCGACAUGGGUCCUGUGCACCGUUGCCUCUCGUGGGCGGCGCUCUGCUGGGGCCUGGGCCAGCGUCAGUUUUGGUGGGAGGAGAAAGGUUGGGUGACCCACACUGUGGCGAGCCUUAUUGGAUACUCCCUACCGGGACUGAGGACUGCCGUUGUAGGACGCUGGCACAACGGCCAAAUACCGCCCG